GGGGGGGGGGGGGGGGGGGGGGGAGGGGUGGGGGGCGGGGGGGGGACGUUCCUGCGGGGGUGGAGUUGGCGGCGGGCGGGUGAGUGACGCGUGGGCAGCCUGCCUCGUAGAGGGGAAUAGCCUUCCGAAAGGGAGAGUACUAGCGCAUAAGAUUGGAGAAUCGCCUUAUACCGCAAUUAAAGGAGCAAUCCGCUAUGAGAUGGGCCCGCGGCGCAUUAGCUAGUUGGUGAGGUAACGGCUAACCAAGGCGACGAUGCGUAGCCGACCUGAGAGGGUGAUCGGCCACAUUGGGACUGAGACACGGCCCAGACUCCUACGGGAGGCAGCAGUGGGGAAUAUUGCACAAUGGGGGAAACCCUGAUGCAGCAACGCCGCGUGAGUGAUGACGGCCUUCGGGUUGUAAAGCUCUGUCUUCAGGGACGAUAAUGACGGUACCUGAGGAGGAAGCCACGGCUAACUACGUG
rnacentral:rRNA from 1 species